UGGGGAAUUUUGGACAAUGGGGAACCCUGAUCCAGCCAUCCCGCGUGUGCGAUGAAGGCCUUCGGGUUGUAAAGCACUUUUGGCAGGAAAGAAACGUCGUGGGUUAAUACCCCGCGAAACUGACGGUACCUGCAGAAUAAGCACCGGCUAACUACGUGCCAGCAGCCGCGGUAAUACGUAGGGUGCAAGCGUUAAUCGGAAUUACUGGGCGUAAAGCGUGCGCAGGCGGUUCGGAAAGAAAGAUGUGAAAUCCCAGAGCUUAACUUUGGAACUGCAUUUUUAACUACCCGGGCUAGAGUGUGUCAGAGGGAGGUGGAAUUCCGCGUGUAGCAGUGAAAUGCGUAGAUAUGCGGAGGAACACCGAUGGCGAAGGCAGCCUCCUGGGAUAACACUGACGCUCAUGCACGAAAGCGUGGGGAGCAAACAGGAUUAGAUACCCUGGUAGUCCACGCCCCUAAAGCGAUGUCAACUAGCUGUUGGGGUCUUCGACCUUGGUAGCGCAGCUAACGCGUGAAGUUGACCGCCUGGGGAGUACGGUCG
rnacentral:rRNA from 1 species